ACAAGAAAUAAUCUGUCUUAGGUUAAUAUAUUGAAUUUAACUUUUGAGUGAAAAGGCUUAAAUAAUCUGAAGGGACGAUAAGACCCUAUAAAACUUUAUAUUGAAAAGUGGUAGGUAUGAUUUGUUUAAAGAUUAUUACUUUAAAGUAUUUGGUUGGGGUGACAAAAAUAGAAUGGAAAGUAACUGUUUUUUUUUUUUACAGUGAUGUUUGAGUCAGUGAUCCUAAAAUGGAUUAGAAGAUUAAGUUACUUUAGGGAUAACAGCGUAAUUUUCUUUAAGAGUUCUUAUCGAUAAGAAAGUUUGCGACCUCGAUGUUGAAUUAAAGGUUCUUUAUGGAGUAGAGACUAUAAAAUAAGGUCUGUUCGACCUUUAAAA
rnacentral:rRNA from 1 species